rnacentral:rRNA from 1 species
UACGAAGGGGGCUAGCGUUGUUCGGAAUUACUGGGCGUAAAGCGUGCGCAGGCGGCUUCUCAAGUCAGGGGUGAAAGCCCAGAGCUCAACUCUGGAACUGCCUUUGAGACUGAGAGGCUUGAGUACGGGAGAGGUGAGUGGAAUUCCCAGUGUAGAGGUGAAAUUCGUAGAUAUUGGGAAGAACACCGGUGGCGAAGGCGGCUCACUGGCCCGUAACUGACGCUGAGGCACGAAAGCGUGGGGAGCAAACAGG